AGGAAACUGUAAAGGAGCUAGUGGAGCAGCUCACUCCACUUAUUCCGAGACCACAACGGAAUGAUGGAAUAUUUGCGGAGACGAAGAUUCUGAUAGCCUUAGCAUUUUAUACACCAUCUCAUACCAGACAUUAGUUGGGCAGAGUGCCCUCCACAGAAGACUGUGUCAAGAGCUGUGAGGCAAGUUACAGAGACACUCAAUGCCAAAUUUAACAAAUGGCCCAUCCAGCAUGACCGGAAUGCCAUGAAAGCUAAAUGUUUGCUCCGAGCACAUGCUUUGCAUUACAGUCCAAUCACCACAGGCAAGAUUGUGAAUGCAUGUUAUAUUUUGCACAGUAUUGCAAACAAGACCAACGCACGUGCCUCCACUCAUGCCUGUGGAAGCUCUUCAUCUGCAACAGGAUGAACACAAUUCAAGGGCCGAGAGUUGGAAAGUGCUAUUGAAGGACAGCAUUCACAAAGCCAUCGAGUUAACCAAGGUCUGCUUGAAGGUAGGGUGCUGCAGCAGGCUCUCAUCAACAGGCUGUGGAGAAAUGCAUGAAAUUAAUAAUAAAUAAUUGAAAUAAAUGAUUUUGAAUUUU